UUUUGGCGAAUCAUUUGAAACAUUUGCCAAGUGAGUGAAAAACACACAGAGACCGAGUAGAUAUUUGUGCAAGUUUUCAUCACGAAACUUUAUAUAUUGUGGAAGAAUUGAACACAAGAGAGUUAAAAAAUUGAAAUGAGAAAGUGAUUUACGUCAGAAAGAUGGAUUUUGAGCAUCAUAAACUAGAACAGUGUCCAGAUUUGAGUGGCUUCAAUGGAAAGGGAAGAGCAUUUAGCACAAGUACACCGGUCGUACACAGUAAACUUAGUGAUGAUCUCCCCCCUCGGUCCCUGUCGACCAGUGCCUGGUCCCCCAACGAUAGUGGGUAUGGGGACUCCCUCUGUAGCAGCAGUGCUGGAGAUGACACCUGUCACGUGACACCAACAGCAAGCAGGGGCAGCUUCACCAGCUUCCGACUGACCGGUCUGGAUCUGAGCCCGAGUCCCACACCGACCGUUAAAAUCAGCGGAUCACUACAGACAGACAAACAUGUGCCCAGGUUCUCCCUCGGUCACACACUGGACUUCAAAAUUCCUGAAGAGGAACAAGUGUUUGAGAAGUUCUCCCCCAACAAGACUGAGAGUCCCAUUCCUCACUACAGUUUGGAGGAUGAGGCUGAGGACAUGCUUAUUGAGGAGUCUGAAACCUCAUCUGCCCCUUCUUCCUCCUCGAGAACUCAAACAUCUUGUUCAAACUUGACAGACAGAUUUGAUGCAGUGUUAAAGCAGUGCAUGCCCAAAGUACCCGACAGAAUGAUUGGCAGAAAGAUGGGGCUGGAGAAAGUAGACUUGAUUCAUGAACUUGACCACAGAGGGAUGGGGAUUAUCAUAGAGAAAAUUGUCAGUUAUCUCCAGGCUUCAGAUAUCCGCAGGAUGUGCAGAGUUGACAAAACAUGGCGAUCUGUGUGCAGCCGCUGGGCAGUAAAGAAGCCAACAAAAAGGCUAAGAUUGUUGAAAUUGAGAGACAAGGAAAAUGUGAGUCACAAAGUGCCCCAAGACUUGGACUUAGUGGGGAGAGGCCUCACAGUAGGGGAGCAGACCACGCUGAGUACUGUCCAGGCAGUGCAAGAACGAGUCCCCCCACCCUGCUCCAUUGGCACCCAGAGGGAUCUCUUUGUACAGACUGCUGGAACUCUGAAAAAUGAGGAGAAAAUGACCAAAUGUCCCAUGUGCCAACAAGCUGCCAUUGUGUACCCUGUGGAAGAGAGGGGUGUGUGUCAGUCAGACAAGUGCCAAUUCGAUUACUGUGUCAAGUGCUUUCACCCAUUCCACCAAAGCAGACCCUGCGUUCAAUUAACAGUGAGCAAAGUCAAACGAAGUAAAGACUCAAAAAUAGGUGGAAAACGUGGAAAGCAGAAUCUGAGGCGCUUAUAGCACAGAUAACAUGACCCUCCCGGUCAGUGACCUUCAACUGAGACAAAGGAGACUCGUCCCCUCCUUGAGUAGUGCCACCUGGUGGUGCCCUAGUCCCAAAGCCAGUGUCCAAUACGGGACACCAAGAUGUGAACUUUCUACCACUGCCAAGUUCAACGAAUCAGCUAUCAGCAGGCAGCUAUGUAACCAGAAGGUUUCAGCCAUCUUUACAAGGCUAAUGCCAUCUUAAAUCAAAAUCCACCAAUUGUGUUCAAUUGUUCAUAUUUUUGAUGUGUUCAUUUAUCUUAAGUGUUCAGGAAAUGAACAAGUGUUUUUAGAGUUUGAUGAUUUCUUAUAUUUUAAUAUAUAUAAUUUGAUUAUUUUUUUCAAAAUGUUUUUUUAGCCUAUAUAUCAUUUUUUAAUUGUAUUUUACUACUUUCACUAUUACGAAUAAGUUCAAUUAUGAAUUAUUUAGUAUUUUCCCGAUUUUAAGCCCAUUUGUAUUUUAACAGUAAUUAUACUAAAUUCUCUUCACAAGCCAACAUAAAAUAUUGAAAUUUUGCAGCAUUUAUAUUCUAAGAUAAUCAGCAAAUUGUAUUAACAGGCAUGUCUUUAAUAAACAGAUUGAUUUACUUCGUUGCUCCAAAAUGAACUUUAUGCAAAAUGUGAUGUGCAUGUUCAAAAAUUAUAUUUUGAAUAAAUUUAUAUCUUUACAUU
rnacentral:misc_RNA from 1 species